GACGAACGCUGGCGGUGUGCUUAACACAUGCAAGUCGUGCGACGAACCAGACUUCGGUCUGGGGCAAAGCGGCGAACGGGUGAGUAACACGUGGGUAAUCUGCCCCGAUGACUGGGACAACCCGAGGAAACUCGGGCUAAUACCGGAUGUGGUGCCUGGACUCAAGUCCGGUCACUAAAGGUAGCUUCGGCUUCCGCAUUGGGAGGGGCCCGCGGCCCAUUAGCUUGUUGGUGGGGUCAAGGCCUACCAAGGCAACGAUGGGUAGCUGGUCUGAGAGGACGAUCAGCCACACUGGGACUGAGACACGGCCCAGACUCCUACGGGAGGCAGCAGUGGGGAAUCUUGCGCAAUGCGCGAAAGCGUGACGCAGCAACACCGCGUGAGGGAAGACGGCCUUAGGGUUGUAAACCUCUUUCAGAUGGGACGAAGGUGAUGCGGUGAAUAGCCGAUGUCAUCGACGGUACCGUCAGAAGAAGCUCCGGCUACUACGUGCCAGC
rnacentral:rRNA from 1 species